rnacentral:pre_miRNA from 1 species
GUUGUACUCCCUCCAUUCGGAAUUACUUGUCUCGGAAAUGGAUGUAUCUAGAACUAAAAUACGUCUAGAUACAUCCAUUUUCGCGACAAGUAAUUCCGAACGGAGGGAGUAGGUG